rnacentral:rRNA from 1 species
GACGAACGCUGGCGGCGUGCUUAACACAUGCAAGUCGAACGGUGAAGCGCCUUCUUUUUUGGUGGGUGUGGAUGAGUGGCGAACGGGUGAGUAACACGUGAGUAACCUGCCCCCUUCUGCUGGAUAACCGCAUGAAAGUGUGGCUAAUACAGGAUAUUCUGCGUCUGUCGCAUGACGGGUCUGGGAAAGUUAUUGUUUCGGUGGGGGAUGGGCUCGCGGCCUAUCAGGUUGUUGGUGGGGUGAUGGCCGACCAAGGCGGGGACGGGUAGCCGGCCUGGGGGGGUGGACGGUCUGGGUGGGGAGGAGGCACAGCCACGACUGGGACGGGAGGCAGCAGAGGCGAAUACGGGACGCAGGGGGGGAGCAUGAUGCAGCGACGGCGCGUGCGUGAUGGAGGCCUGCGGGUUGAGAACUGCUGUCGUCAGUGAAGUAGGGCUGCCUUGUUUGUGGGGGGGUUGACGGUACCGGGAUAAGAAGCGCCGGCUAACUACGUG